rnacentral:piRNA from 1 species
UAGUGUGGUGAAAUGCAUUAAUUGCAACUGC